rnacentral:misc_RNA from 1 species
CUGAAGUGAGUCUUCAUUCAUUGAAGCUUCUUCCCAUUGUGCUGGCUUUGACCGUAUGUUAUGUUGGGGAUUAAACAUGGUUAAGAAGAAUUUAUAAUUUUUCUUGGCCGUCCCCAACAAUUAUCUUAUCCUUUAUUAAAUUGAACUGAACUCAUUUUGAGAUUACAUAAAAAAAUAAUCUUAUAAUA